rnacentral:lncRNA from 1 species
UUCACGAGAGCAGUGAUUUCCAGGCUUUCUUAGCAAUGUGCCACUUCCCCUGACGUACUUACCAGACAGUGAAUUUUCCAUUUUUUACAAGAAGAAAAUUUUGGUGACAAAUUAUCCAAUAACAAAAGGACUUGUGUCUACUAAGAUCGUAACAUAUAAAAAAUCAUGGCCUCAGAAGAAAUUAAGCUUGCAAAGAAUGUCCACAGCGAGACUGCGGGUGCAGAAGCUUCAGAUUUGACUCCCACUUCUGAUGGUGGAGUCUGUGGUUUGGAAACAGGUUUUGGUUAACCCUACUGCUCAAUUUUGAAGCUAUGGACUUAGAGAUUCUAUGUGAACAGGUAUUAUAUAUGUGUGUGCUUGCUGUGCUUUUCUUCUAGAU